rnacentral:rRNA from 1 species
GAUGAACGCUGGCGGCGUGCUUAACACAUGCAAGUCGAACGAUUAACCCACCUUCGGGUGGUUAUAGAGUGGCGAACGGGUGAGUAACACGUGACCAACCUACCUCUUAUUUUGGGAUAACUCAAAGAAAUUUAAGCUAAUACCAAAUAUUCUUCUUUCCUCGCAUGAGGAUCUAAGGAAAGUUCAGGCGAUAAGAGAUGGGGUCGCGGCCUAUUAGGUAGUUGGUGGGGUAACGGCCCACCAAGCCCAUGAUAGGUAGCCGGGUUGAGAGACUGAUCGGCCACAUUGGGACUGAGAUACGGCCCAGACUCCUACGGGAGGCAGCAGUGGGGAAUUUUGCGCAAUGGGGGAAACCCUGACGCAGCAACGCCGCGUGCGGGAUGAAGGCCUUCGGGUUGUAAACCGCUUUCAGUAGGGAAGAAAUUGACGGUACCUACAGAAGAAGCUCCGGCUAACUACGUGCCAGCCGCCGCAGUAACAC